rnacentral:misc_RNA from 1 species
GUUGGAAGCGGGAAUUUAUAUAAAUUGUAGAUUGUAGCGUUUUGAGAAAUAUUUUUGUGAUGUUUGUAUUUAGGAUAUAGAGUUGAAUAUUUUUUAUUAUAGAGUAGGUUGGAAUUAUUUUUUUUGUAGUAUUUGGAAGUGGAUAUUUGGAGCGUUUUUAGGUUUAUGGUGAAAAAGGAAAUAUUUUUUUAUAAAAAUUGGAUAGAAGUAUUUUUAGAAAUUUGUUUAUGUUGUAUUUAUUUAAUUAAUAAAGUUGAAUUUUUUUUUUGAUAGAGUAGUUUUGAAAUUUUUUUUUUU